GCGAAGUACUAUUUGGGGGGAAGGGUGGGUGACAAAAACCCUGCGGUGUCCUCCUUCCCUUCAGCGCUCCUGGGGAUAUUUUCAAGCACGGUGUUUGUUAUACGGCGCUCUGGCAUAUUCGUGAAAUGACAGGAAAACAGAACGGAAUAAAAUGAGAACUGCUGACUGCUAGAAGCAGCUUAGAAAGAAACCCCUCUAACUGCAAAUAGAGAUCCCUGCAACCCUCUGUGACUCCACUUGGUGCAUUUUGACUGCUUGUGCCACGUAAGGCAGGUCAUUUGGUGCUGGAAGCCUGAAAUACCCUGGGAGACUGGCACAGGCACUGCUGGCAGGGAUAGGAGAGAAAGGGCCUCCUUUCUCCUGCCUGCACACAAGGUGCAGGUGCCAGCCAGCAUCCUUGAUACAACAUUGACUUAGAUAAAGAAAUUCUGCAUAGAAAAUCCCGAUUA